GAUGAACGCUGGCGGCGUGCCUAAUACAUGCAAGUCGAGCGAACAGACGAGGAGCUUGCUCCUCUGACGUUAGCGGCGGACGGGUGAGUAACACGUGGAUAACCUACCUAUAAGACUGGGAUAACUUCGGGAAACCGGAGCUAAUACCGGAUAAUAUAUUGAACCGCAUGGUUCAAUAGUGAAAGACGGUUUUGCUGUCACUUAUAGAUGGAUCCGCGCCGCAUUAGCUAAUUGGUAAGGUAACGGCUUACCAAGGCGACGAUGCGUAGCCGACCUGAGAGGGUGAUCGGCCACACUGGAACUGAGACACGGUCCAGACUCCUACGGGAGGCAGCAGUAGGGAAUCUUCCGCAAUGGGCGAAAGCCUGACGGAGCAACGCCGCGUGAGUGAUGAAGGUCUUCGGAUCGUAAAACUCUGUUAUUAGGGAAGAACAAAUGUGUAAGUAACUAUGCACGUCUUGACGGUACCUAAUCAGAAAGCCACGGCUAACUACGUG
rnacentral:rRNA from 1 species